CCUACGGGAGGCAGCAGUGGGGAAUAUUGCACAAUGGGGGAAACCCUGAUGCAGCGACGCGGCGUGAGUGAAGAAGGUUUUCGGAUUGUAAAGCUCUGUUAGCAGGGAAGAGGAAGGACGGUACCUGCAGAGAAAGCCACGGGUAACUACGUGCCAGAGGCCGCGGUAAUACGUGGGUGGCAAGGGUUGUUCGAAAUAACUGGGGUUAAGGGAGGCGUAGCGGGUUAACAAGUUAUAUGUUAAAUAUAUAGGCUUAACCUGUAGAAAGCAUAUAAAACUGUUUAACUAGAGUGCAGGAGAGGUAAGUGGAAUUCCUAGUGUAGCGGUGAAAUGCGUAGAGAUUAGGAAGAACACCAGUGGCGAAGGCGACUUACUGGACUGUAACUGACGCUGAGGCAUGAGAGCAUGGGGAGCAAACAGGAUUAGAUACCCGUGUAGUC
rnacentral:rRNA from 1 species